rnacentral:rRNA from 1 species
GAUCAUGGCUCAGGAUGAACGCUAGCUACAGGCUUAACACAUGCAAGUCGAGGGGCAGCAUUUUAGUUUGCUUGCAAACUGAAGAUGGCGACCGGCGCACGGGUGAGUAACACGUAUCCAACCUGCCGAUAACUCCGGAAUAGCCUUUCGAAAGAAAGAUUAAUACCGGAUAGUAUACGAAUAUCGCAUGAUAUUUUUAUUAAAGAAUUUCGGUUAUCGAUGGUAGNUGUCUACUA